UUUUUUUUCCUGUUUUUGAAGGCAAGAAGACGAUAGAAUGAUGGAGGCAAAGAACAAGGUGUCAUCACACUAUUGGUGGUUUGACAGUCACAAUAAGAGUAACACAAAUCGAUCUCCAUGGCUUCAAUCCACACUUGCUGGUAAACCCACCUCAUUUAGUGUUCUAUUUCUCCUCUAAAUGUUAAAGCCAUCUUCAUUAAAUUUUAUUUUCAAGUCAUCUAAAAGUUUAAGCAGCCGUUCAUUAAAUUUUAUUUUCAACGGAUCUCUCAUUCAGAUGAGUAUACAUAACUUGAAUUUUUGAAAUUAAAGAUUUGAAACUUGCACAAAGUUUAUAAAAGGAUAGCUGAAAGAUUCGAGGAAUUUGAAAGAGCCUGUGUGAGCCCUUUUUUUUUUUUUGCCCAAAAUGCAUUU
rnacentral:lncRNA from 1 species